rnacentral:rRNA from 1 species
GGCAGCAGCAGGGAAUUUUGUGCAAUGGGCGAAAGCCUGACACAGCAACGCCGCGUGGGGGAUGAAGGCCUUCGGGUUGUAAACCCCUUUUGGGAGGGACGAAAUUGACGGUACCUCCAGAAAAAGCCCCGGCCAACUACGUGCCAGCAGCCGCGGUAAU